GGUAUAAUAGAUGCCCCCCCAUGGGGGUCUCACAGAGCUUAGAGCUUCUGGACCAUUAGAUCUUCAUAACUAGGCAAUCUCAUCCGUUUAUUCUGGGCAGAAAACGAGUGGUCCGAUUGGCCCUCCCUCUAGCUAACCCCAUGCAACAGCCAUGUGUUACCCGCCAGUGGCUGCAUGUGGGUCCCACUUUUGUUCGGACCCGCAUGUCGGUCACUGCGGGUAGAUUUCGUGGGUGGUGGAAAAGAUCUCCACCCGCAGGGGUAGAUUGGGUAAUUCCUCGCACGGUGGUCAGAUGAGCCAAAACUACAGCCCGUGGUCACAACCCUAGCCAUUCGUCCCCCGCUCCGCGCCGCCGCGGCCCCAUCUCCCGCUCCCCGCGGUCGUCGGCCUCCUCCCUGUCGCUGCCGCUCGCGCCACCUCCCGUUCCUACUUCUUCCUCUCUCUGCUGCCGCCCUUCGCGCCGCCGGCCGGCAGGAGACCGAGUUCAUCGCAUCGCCAUCGCUGGAGGAAGUGCAGGUCGUCGCUGCCCCGAUUCGUCCGCGCUCGCAGGGAGGAGCACAUGAGUGGAAAAUCGCCGGGAGGAGCGGAAGGUUGUCGCAGUUUUGAGCGACCGCGAGUUGAGAACACCCGUGGAGCUGACCUCGGCUCAUUGCCGCACUUGGCUGUCUUGCACGGAGAGAAAGAGAG